UGGGGGAUAUUGGACAAUGGGGGAAACCCUGAUCCAGCGACGCCGCGUGAGUGAAGAAGUAUUUCGGUAUGUAAAGCUCUAUCAGCAGGGAAGAAAGAAAUGACGGUACCUGAGUAAGAAGCCCCGGCUAACUACGUGCCAGCAGCCGCGGUAAUACGUAGGGGGCAAGCGUUAUCCGGAAUUACUGGGUGUAAAGGGAGCGUAGACGGUUAAGCAAGUCUGGAGUGAAAGGCGGGGGCCCAACCCCCGGACUGCUCUGGAAACUGUGUAACUAGAGUGCAGGAGAGGUAAGCGGAAUUCCUA
rnacentral:rRNA from 1 species